rnacentral:rRNA from 1 species
CCUACGGGAGGCUGCCGUGGGGAAUAUUGCACAAUGGGCGCAAGCCUGAUGCAGCGACGCCGCGUGAGCGAAGAAGGCCUUCGGGUCGUAAAGCUCUGUCCUAUGGGACGAUAAUGACGGUACCAUAGGAGGAAGCCCCGGCUAACUACGUGCCAGCAGCCGCGGUAAUACGUAGGGGGCGAGCGUUGUCCGGAAUGACUGGGCGUAAAGGGUACGUAGGCGGCUAAGUAAGUCAGGUGUGAAAGGCUAGGGCUUAACCCUAGUAAGCACUUGAAACUGCUUAGCUUGAGUCGAGGAGAGGAAAGUGGAAUUCCUGGUGUAGCGGUGAAAUGCGUAGAUAUCAGGAGGAAUACCAGUGGCGAAGGCGACUUUCUGGCCUUGGACUGACGCUGAGGUACGAAAGCGUGGGGAGCAAACAGGAUUAGAUACCCGUGUAGUC